UACGUAGGGUGCAAGCGUUUGUCCGGAAUUAUUGGGCGUAAAGGGCUCGUAGGCGGUUUGUCGCGUCGGGAGUGAAAACGCCGGGCUUAACUCGGUGCUUGCUUUCGAUACGGGCAGACUAGAGGCAUGCAGGGGAGAACGGAAUUCCUGGUGUAGCGGUGAAAUGCGCAGAUAUCAGGAGGAACACCGAUGGCGAAGGCAGGUCUCUGGGCAUUAACUGACGCUGAGGAGCGAAAGCAUGGGGAGCGAACAGG
rnacentral:rRNA from 1 species